rnacentral:tRNA from 1 species
ACCGCGAUAGCUCAGCUGGUAGAGCAUCUGCCCGGUAUGCGGUGGGUCGCCGGUUCGAUUCCGGCUCGCGGCG